UGGGGAAUCUUGGACAAUGGGCGCAAGCCUGAUCCAGCCAUGCCGCGUGAGUGACGAAGGCCUUAGGGUUGUAAAGCUCUUUUAGCAGGGAAGAUAAUGACGGUACCUGCAGAAUAAGCCCCGGCUAACUUCGUGCCAGCAGCCGCGGUGAUACGAAGGGGGCUAGCGUUGUUCGGAAUUACUGGGCGUAAAGCGCACGUAGGCGGAUCAUUUAGUCAGGGGUGAAAUCCCGGGGCUCAACCUCGGAACUGCCUUUGAUACUGAUGAUCUCGAGUCCGGAAGAGGUGAGUGGAAUUCCUAGUGUAGAGGUGAAAUUCGUAGAUAUUAGGAAGAACACCAGUGGCGAAGGCGGCUCACUGGUCCGGCACUGACGCUGAGGUGCGAAAGCGUGGGGAGCAAACAGG
rnacentral:rRNA from 1 species